UACAGAGGUGCCAAGCGUUAGGCGGAAUCACUGGGCUUAAAGCGUGUGUAGGCGGAAUUGUAAGUACCUUGUGAAAUCCCCGGGCUCAACCCGGGAACUGCGUCCGAUACUGGAAGGCUUGAAUCCGGGAGAGGGAUGCGGAAUUCCAGGUGUAGCGGUGAAAUGCGUAGAUAUCUGGAGGAACACCGGUGGCGAAGGCGGCAUCCUGGACCGGUAUUGACGCUGAUGCGCGAAAGCCAGGGGAGCAAGCGGG
rnacentral:rRNA from 1 species